rnacentral:rRNA from 1 species
GAUGAACGCUGGCGGCGUGCCUAAUACAUGCAAGUCGAGCGAACGGACGAGAAGCUUGCUUCUCUGAUGUUAGCGGCGGACGGGUGAGUAACACGUGGAUAACCUACCUAUAAGACUGGGAUAACUUCGGGAAACCGGAGCUAAUACCGGAUAAUAUUUUGAACCGCAUGGUUCAAAAGUGAAAGACGGUCUUGCUGUCACUUAUAGAUGGAUCCGCGCUGCAUUAGCUAGUUGGUAAGGUAACGGCUUACCAAGGCAACGAUGCAUAGCCGACCUGAGAGGGUGAUCGGCCACACUGGAACUGAGACACGGUCCAGACUCCUACGGGAGGCAGCAGUAGGGAAUCUUCCGCAAUGGGCGAAAGCCUGACGGAGCAACGCCGCGUGAGUGAUGAAGGUCUUCGGAUCGUAAAACUCUGUUAUUAGGGAAGGACAUAUGUGUAAGUAACUGUGCACAUCUUGACGGUACCUAAUCAGAAAGCCACGGCUAACUACGUGCCAGCAGCCGCGGUAAUACGUAGGUGGCAAGCGUUAUCCGGAAUUAUUGGGCGUAAAGCGCGCGUAGGCGGUUUUUUAGUCUGAUGUGAAAGCCCACGGCUCAACCGUGGAGGGUCAUUGGAAACUGGAAAACUUGAGUGCAGAAGAGGAAAGUGGAAUUCCAUGUGUAGCGGUGAAAUGCGCAGAGAUAUGGAGGAACACCAGUGGCGAAGGCGACUUUCUGGUCUGUAACUGACGCUGAUGUGCGAAAGCGUGGGGAUCAAACAGGAUUAGAUACCCUGGUAGUCCACGCCGUAAACGAUGAGUGCUAAGUGUUAGGGGGUUUCCGCCCCUUAGUGCUGCAGCUAACGCAUUAAGCACUCCGCCUGGGGAGUACGACCGCAAGGUUGAAACUCAAAGGAAUUGACGGGGACCCGCACAAGCGGUGGAGCAUGUGGUUUAAUUCGAAGCAACGCGAAGAACCUUACCAAAUCUUGACAUCCUUUGACAACUCUAGAGAUAGAGCCUUCCCCUUCGGGGGACAAAGUGACAGGUGGUGCAUGGUUGUCGUCAGCUCGUGUCGUGAGAUGUUGGGUUAAGUCCCGCAACGAGCGCAACCCUUAAGCUUAGUUGCCAUCAUUAAGUUGGGCACUCUAAGUUGACUGCCGGUGACAAACCGGAGGAAGGUGGGGAUGACGUCAAAUCAUCAUGCCCCUUAUGAUUUGGGCUACACACGUGCUACAAUGGACAAUACAAAGGGCAGCGAAACCGCGAGGUCAAGCAAAUCCCAUAAAGUUGUUCUCAGUUCGGAUUGUAGUCUGCAACUCGACUACAUGAAGCUGGAAUCGCUAGUAAUCGUAGAUCAGCAUGCUACGGUGAAUACGUUCCCGGGUCU